GACAGAGGGUGCAAACGUUGCUCGGAAUCACUGGGCGUAAAGGACGUGUAGGCGGACUUGCAAGUCAGGCGUGAAAUCCCUGGGCUCAACCCAGGAAUUGCACUUGAAACUGCAAGCCUUGAGUGUCGGAGAGGAAAGCGGAAUUCCUGGUGUAGAGGUGAAAUUCGUAGAUAUCAGGAGGAACACCGGUGGCGAAGGCGGCCAUCUGGACCGCAACUGACGCUGAGGCGCGAAAGCGUGGGGAGCGAACAGG
rnacentral:rRNA from 1 species